rnacentral:rRNA from 1 species
UACGUAGGGUGCGAGCGUUGUCCGGAAUUAUUGGGCGUAAAGAGCUCGUAGGCGGUGUGUCGCGUCGGCCGUGAAAACCUGGGGCUCAACUCUGGGCGUGCGGUCGAUACGGGCAUCACUUGAGUUCGGCAGGGGAGACUGGAAUUCCUGGUGUAGCGGUGAAAUGCGCAGAUAUCAGGAGGAACACCGGUGGCGAAGGCGGGUCUCUGGGCCGAUACUGACGCUGAGGAGCGAAAGCGUGGGGAUCAAACAGG